GGAGCGGUAGUUCAGUUGGUUAGAAUACCGGCCUGUCACGCCGGGGGUCGCGG
rnacentral:tRNA from 1 species